CUAACUUGGGAGUUACCAGCAGGCAUAUGGCCAAACCUGACCUCCACAUGAUUAACCAUGUUGGCCAGAAUAUGUGCCACAGAGUUGGGUAUGGGUGAACUGGGGCCUGUCUGACUCUCCCAAAAGCUGUCAACAAAGUCUUUGCAGUAUGGCAUAGCGAUCUCUUUUAGGUGCCAUGUGAAAGAGUGCAUUCACCACUGUGGAUUGCAUUACAACAUCCAACUCUACAUGGGUCCCUGCCAUGUUUAGAGUGGCUGCCAUGGCUAGCCUACAGCGUGUCAUGGGCACCCGGGGGCAGAAGAGGCAGGGGCAGGACCAGACUACUCUCCAGAUGCUGCAGAGACCAGAGCUGAACAAGGGAAAUAGCCUGGACAAUCCUCCCAGAUACAGCCAAAGGCUCAGUAUCAUUGCUUGUGCUCUACUGGUAAGUGGCAAUUAAUAGAUUUCAGCUGAGCCAUGUUUGCUUCCAAAAUCUUUAGACCAGGUUAGACCAGGAGUGUUCAACCAAUUUGCAGUCAGGGAUAUACUUAUUUUGUGAGCUAUUCAAAUAUUUAAAUGUGCACAAUAAGAUUUUUCUAUUUAUUGGAGGUAUUUGAACAUUUUUUUAAUUAAAACAGGCUAUGUUUGUGAGUUAUAGACUUUUGGAUUAAAUUCAUCCAAUUCAAGUGACCUGUCAGACAGACUAACAACUAGAGCUCUAAAUGAGUCUAAUAAUUUUCAUAAAUUAUGAUGGAUCGUAACAAAAUAUUGAAAAAAAAACAUGUGGACCCCCUGUCUGUUAGACUCUCAGUCAAGGAUUAAAUCUGCUGGAUGAGCGUGCCAUUUUGACAUAGGCUCCAGUCAGCAGUCAGCACAGGGAUGUCCAAGUCAUGCCAAGUCAUGUAGUUGGCAGAAGAUGUGGAAUAUUCAAAGGAGAAAAAGCAGAGGGAGAAACCGACUCAGCAGGAAAGAGAUGAGCGAGUUCAGCUUCCUGUUUGAGAGAAACACCGGCUAGAGGGAUAAGAGAUGAGGUGGAGCUAUGUGUCCUCUCCUCCUGCUGUAGACUCUUACUGCAGACAUCUUCCAGAAACUUCUUCACACCGUGAGCCAUCUGAGGAACCAGUACCCGAAAUGCAGCCCUCCACUCAAACUCCAGACACACCACCUACACACAGAUACAGGACCAGAAUUAAGCAGGUACAUUUAAUGUUGUGGAUCAUCCGCAGAAGUGAAUUCCUGUGAUCACUUACAUUAUAGCAGCUAUAAAGAGUCAUUACCUCACACAGCUUCUCUAUUUUUCUUUCUCUCUUGAAGUUAAUAAGACAAAAGAAAAUGCAGGUUGUCAUAUUACCUAGAAACCUGAAAGACAUCUAUGCUGCCAAAAACAUUAUGUCAGAGCUUUACCUCUGACUGUUACAAAGUGCUGACACUGGAGACUCCUUCCAGAAAUACUAAAUGCAUGUCUCCUUACAGAAAACUUCACCAUAUCUACAUUUUCACACAUUUUUUGUUGUAGUUGUUGCUGUUGUUUAUUAAAUCUGUUUAUAUGGAACAUCCACUGUACAUGUCGCUGUGUAAGUUGUUACUAGAGAAUUAAGAGCAUUAAUUUAAAAAAAAAAAAGAAAGAAAGAAAAAAGAAAAAAAUGAGAUUUGCCUUGAAGCCAAUAUCAGACAC